rnacentral:lncRNA from 1 species
UCACUCAUUCUCCCUCACCCCUACUUUCACCCUAGCUUCAGAGGGGAUGUUAGAUAUUUGUUAUUCUGUGCACUGCACCAUGUUCUGUCCUAGGGGGUGAGCAUUAGACUCAAAUGCAGAUAUUGGACCCUAGAGUUUUCAAAGCUGCACAGGUAGAAGAUGACCUGGCAUUUGCUUGUUUACUUUGACUACCUCUUGUAGCGUAACUUUAAUACAUUGUUAUGUAUCAAAAAAGAGUCACUAUUUCUUAAUUUAGUCUUACUCUUCAAAAAAAGGAUGGAACCCACAACCUCAUGGUUCCUAGUCUGAUUUGUUAAUCACUGAGCCACAAAGGGAACUCCUGAUUUUAUUUCUUGUUACCAUACAUAACUCAUAAAUAUUUUGAGGGCAAGAAUUGCAUUUUUAUAGCUUUACAUUUCUGAUUCCUCCCCAGAGUUCAAUAAAUGAUUUUUACUGUUAAGAUGUUUCAACUAAGUUGCUAAUAUUUUGCAUGUCUCUCUCUCAUUGUGGUCAUUUUUGAAAGAGUCAACAGAUUUUGAUGAAAAUUAGUAUAUACGAAGAUUUCAUUGUGGUUCUGACCACCAUCUUGAGACACAAUGGCAGUUAAUCAACUGACUGUUAAGAGAUUUUCUCUAACAUUAUUAUCAGCAGGUUCUAUACAAUUUUAUACAUGUCAGCACUGAAAGUGUUGUGCUAUUCAGAGCCUCUGAUAGCACAAGGUACCAGUCAAAAAAUAUAUGAGGUAAGUUGAAGGAUCUAGAGUUAGGUUAGGUUAUGCAGAUCUCCAAAUGAGAGGUAAGGCUGAGGUAAAACAUCAAACUCUGGAUGUCUACACCUCAUUUGGGGGAACAAUGACAGCAGCAAAUAUGCAUUUUCUUAAUUUUUAUUGACCAAAACAUAAGGUUGUUUUUUUCAGUGUCAAAGGAGGCUAGAAAAAGUGCUGAGGAAUAGUUUCUGCUCUCACUUUGGGUCUGAUGCCUUUAGCUUACAAGGGUAACCUCUACUUCUUAAACUUCUGCAUUUUCCAGGAAUAGGCUUGCAGAUUCUUAGAAUUAAUGAGCUGGAAAGAACUUGACCAUCUGGUUCAAAGCUCUUGUUUAAAGAGCUUGCUUCCUCUGGGCCUUAUUCCUGAAGCCUUGACUUUGUACUGGCCCUAGAGUUUGGGAUUCAGUUCAAAUAGAAAAUUUGCUAUUAUGUUAUAAAAUGACAUUUUUUUACCCUUUCAUAUUUAAUAAAAUUUCCUAUAAAGGCUAGAUUCAUUUUUCACUUUUUAGACAAUUUCCCAUGAAAAAUAGAUGGAUUUCUCACUUUUCAGACACUAAACAUUUGAAAUUUAGGGAGUGGGAUGGACCAGGAAUGUGUGGUUAGUAGAUGCAAACUAGCAUUUGGAAUGGAUAAGCAAUGAGAUCCUUCUGUAUAGCAUAGGGAACUAUUAUCUAGUCACUUGUGAUGGGAUAUUAUGGACAAUAAUGUGAGAAAAAGAAUAUAUAUAUAUACAUAUAUAUAUACAUCCGGUCAUGUAUAUAUAUGACCGGAUCACUUUGCGGUACAGCAGAAGUUGACCGAACAUUGUAAAUCAACUAUAAUGGAAAAAAUAAAAAUCUUAAAAACAGAAAUUAGUCCUAGAGUUCCCUGGUGGUCUAAUGGUUAGGAUUCAGCGCUUUCACCACUGUGGCCAGGUUCAAUCCCUCGUCUGGGAA